ACAGAGUCCUCUGUGAGGUCGCCACUGAGCUGAUGGACUCACGCUCAGACAGACCCUGGCAAACGGUUCUCAGAUUGAAUAGCUCUUUAUUUCACCCGAAGUAAGAAAGCUAGAGUGGGGUUUGUUGGGGUGCUCCUGGGGCCCUUUGGGGCUUCUGGCUCUGGGUGUUGUUUCAUGGGCUUCUAAAGAGGUCUUCUGAGGUCUUCAUGACCUCAGAUGUCACAGAACCAACUUCUACUCCCUGACCAAACUCUGCCAUCUCCACCAUGACCUCCAGGAGGCUACAGUCUGCAGUCGGAGAAAAAGCUGCAAACACUUUGGUCUGCAGCGCUGCACAGCUGUAUUUAUCCUCUCCUGCCUUUGUGACCUGUCCCUGUCACACACCCCUUUGUUUCUACGCCCUGUGACCCCACAAGGUCAGGACCCACCCUGUCAGGGACCCAGGAUGGGGGUAACGGCUGUGGUGAGCACUGAAUGGGAUGCCAGUUUGGAUCUGGAGUGUCUCUUGAAGGUCUGUGUCACAGGCUUAGUCCCAGCAACAGUGGGGCUGUUGGGAGGUGAGGGGACCCUUGGGAGGUGA
rnacentral:lncRNA from 1 species